CGCUUAUCAAGAGUGACCGAGGGAACAGGCCCAAUGACGUCCGGCAACCUCCCUUUUAGGGAACGGUGCCAAUUCCUGCAGAAUGGCUUUCAUUCUGAAAGAUAAGUC
rfam:Geobacillus caldoxylosilyticus NBRC 107762 DNA, contig: GCA01S032.